rnacentral:rRNA from 1 species
GAUGAACGCUAGCGACAGGCUUAACACAUGCAAGUCGAGGGGCAGCGGGGAGUAGCAAUACUCUGCCGGCGACCGGCGCACGGGUGAGUAACGCGUAUGCAACUUACCUAUCAGAGGAGAAUAGCUCAUCGAAAGAUGAAUUAAUGCUCCAUAAAACAGGGGUCCCGCAUGGGAAUAUUUACCAAAGAUUUAUCGCUGAGAGAUGGGCUCGCGGCCGAUUAGGUAGUUGGUGAGAUAACAGCCCACCAAGCCGACGAUCGGUAGCCGGACUGAGAGGUUGAUCGGCCACAUUGGGACUGAGACACGGCCCAG